GCCGGUGUAGCUCAAUUGGUAGAGCACUGGUUUUGUAAACCAGGGGUUGGGAGUUCAAGUCUCUUCGCCGGCA
rnacentral:tRNA from 2 species